CCACGCUUCCACUGCUGCCUGGGCGCCUACUGUGUGCAGGCCAGAGCUAGAGGCGGCCAGGUUGGGGGGGUCGGUGGGGUGAGGGGACCGGUGAGCUUCGGAAGCCUUGGAGGCUUGGGUCUACGUGCUAGAUCCAAGCUCGCUGCAGAAUCUCUGGACAGAACUGUGUGAUUAGAGAGCUCCAAUGGAGGGGUCACAGUGGAGAAGCCUCCAGGGCGUUGGGGAUGAAAGAAAACCCAGGGUGGCUGGAGACCCCCAGGGGACCAGGACACAUCCUGAGCUGCUAGAAGGGACCGUCAUCUUGCUAGAGAGCCCACAUUCAGCCACUCCAGUUCACAGACCUGCUGAGCCCUGCCCUUCAGUCAAGCCCACCCGGAAGUUGGAUAUGUUCCUGAUGCCAUGCUGAACCCUCCAGUGCAUCACCUGGCUCCUACCAGGACCCUGGGUGAGACAAGCUGACCCUGAGUUACUGAGUUACGUCACCCACAGAGGGCACAUGUCCACAGACAGCUGGAGGAGGGAUGGAGACAGGCACCUUCCCCAGAUGUGUUAUGCACACGGCAUGAGUUGAUCUAAGAAGGCAUCAGAGCUAUGUUCUCACACAUGAAGGAAUUCUAACUCACAUAGCCUUCCUGAAAAAUCUAGUCUGAGAUGUGACUCACUUUGACGGAACAAAACAAAGCAAAACAAAAACAAAACAGAAAUAAUGAAUCCCAGUGUGAAAGAAUACAAGAACACCAGAAAACUGGUCAGGAGUUCUCUCCAGAGAAACCAAGAACUCAGUUGCAAGGAUAGCUUUGGUAACACAGUACCAAGACAGCAAAUGUAACUGUUAAAGGUGUCAAGGGGAAAAGCUACAUGAAAAAAUUUUUUUUUCUUUUUACUUUCAAGGAAGAUACAUUAGUGAGGGUAACCCUAGCUUCUGUAGCACAGAGAAUAUUACAAAUAACCCCCACAUGAUGCACAUAGAGUUCUUGCUGGGAUAACAAUUCUGGGUG